rnacentral:rRNA from 1 species
GACGUAGGGCGCGAGCGUUGUCCGGAUUUAUUGGGCGUAAAGAGCUCGUAGGCGGCUUGUCGCGUCGAAUGUGAAAACUCGGGGCUCAACUCCGAGCUUGCAUUCGAUACGGGCAGGCUAGAGUUCGGUAGGGGAGACUGGAAUUCCUGGUGUAGCGGUGAAAUGCGCAGAUAUCAGGAGGAACACCAAUAGCGAAGGCAGCUCGCUGGGACGGUACUGACGCUGAGGCGCGAAAGCGUGGGGAGCGAACAGG